rnacentral:rRNA from 1 species
GACGAACGCUGGCGGCGUGCCUAAUACAUGCAAGUAGAACGCUGAAGGAGGAGCUUGCUUCUCUGGAUGAGUUGCGAACGGGUGAGUAACGCGUAGGUAACCUGCCUGGUAGCGGGGGAUAACUAUUGGAAACGAUAGCUAAUACCGCAUAAGAGUAGAUGCUGCAUGACAUUUGCUUAAAAGGUGCACUUGCAUCACUACCAGAUGGACCUGCGUUGUAUUAGCUAGUUGGUGGGGUAACGGCUCACCAAGGCGACGAUACAUAGCCGACCUGAGAGGGUGAUCGGCCACACUGGGACUGAGACACGGCCCAGACUCCUACGGGAGGCAGCAGUAGGGAAUCUUCGGCAAUGGACGGAAGUCUGACCGAGCAACGCCGCGUGAGUGAAGAAGGUUUUCGGAUCGUAAAGCUCUGUUGUAAGAGAAGAACGAGUGUGAGAGUGGAAAGUUCACACUGUGACGGUAUCUUACCAGAAAGGGACGGCUAACUACGUG